UACGAAGGGGGCGAGCGUUGUUCGGAAUUACUGGGCGUAAAGGGCUCGUAGGCGGCCAACUAAGUCAGACGUGAAAUCCCUCGGCUUAACCGGGGAACUGCGUCUGAUACUGGAUGGCUAGAGGUUGGGAGAGGGAUGCGGAAUUCCAGGUGUAGCGGUGAAAUGCGUAGAUAUCUGGAGGAACACCGGUGGCGAAGGCGGCAUCCUGGACCAAUUCGUGACGCUGAGGAGCGAAAGCGUGGGGAGCGAACAGG
rnacentral:rRNA from 1 species